rnacentral:rRNA from 1 species
UACGUAGGUGGCAAGCGUUGUCCGGAUUUAUUGGGUUUAAAGGGUGCGUAGGCGGCCCUGUAAGUCAGUGGUGAAAUCUCUCAGCUUAACUGAGAGGGUGCCAUUGAUACUGCAGGGCUUGAGUACAGAUGAGGUAGGCGGAAUUGACGGUGUAGCGGUGAAAUGCAUAGAUAUCGUCAAGAACACCGAUAGCGAAGGCAGCUUACCAAGCUGUAACUGACACUGAGGCACGAAAGUGUGGGGAUCAAACAGG